AGGUAGAAUGGCUGAGUGAAGCAUUAGACUGUAAAUCUAAAAACAGAGGUUUAUAUUCCUCUUUUUACC
rnacentral:tRNA from 1 species